UAGGGAAUCUUCCACAAUGGACGCAAGUCUGAUGGAGCAACGCCGCGUGAGUGAAGAAGGUUUUCGGAUCAUAAAGCUCUGUUGUUGGUGAAGAAGGAUAGAGGUAGUAACUGGCCUUUAUUUGACGGUAAUCAACCAGAAAGUCACGGCUAACUACGUGCCAGCAGCCGCGGUAAUACGUAGGUGGCAAGCGUUGUCCGGAUUUAUUGGGCGUAAAGCGAGCGCACGCGGAAGAAUAAGUCUGAUGUGAAAGCCCUCGGCUUAACCGAGGAACUGCAUCGGAAACUGUUUUUCUUGAGUGCAGAAGAGGAGAGUGGAAUUCCAUGUGUAGCGGUGGAAUGCGUAGAUAUAUGGAAGAACACCAGUGGCGAAGGCGACUCUCUGGUCUGCAACUGACGCUGAGGCUCGAAAGCAUGGGUAGCGAACAGG
rnacentral:rRNA from 1 species